rnacentral:rRNA from 1 species
UCCUACGGGGCGCAGCAGUGGGGAAUAUUGCACAAUGGGCGAAAGCCUGAUGCAGCAACGCCGCGUGAAGGAAGAAGGUCUUCGGAUCGUAAACUUCUGUCCUUGGGGAAGAUAAUGACGGUACCCUUGGAGGAAGCCCCGGCUAACUACGUGCCAGCAGCCGCGGUAAUACGUAGGGGGCAAGCGUUAUCCGGAAUUACUGGGUGUAAAGGGUGAGUAGGCGGCAUGGUAAGCCAGAUGUGAAAGCCUUGGGCUUAACCCGAGGAUUGCAUUUGGAACUAUCAAGCUAGAGUACAGGAGAGGAA